rnacentral:rRNA from 1 species
UAUUGGGCAAUGCCCGCAAGGGUGACCCAGCAACGCCGCGUGGAGGAUGAAUGUCGUAAGAUUGUAAACUCCUGUUAGAGGGGACGAAUGAAUCCGAUUAGAUCGGAUUUUGACGGUACCCUCAGAGAAAGCCCCGGCUAACUACGUGCCAGCAGCCGCGGUAAUACGUAGGGGGCAAGCGUUGUCCGGAUUUACUGGGUGUAAAGGGCGCGCAGGUGGGUUAGCAAGUCAGAGGUGAAAUCCUACAGCUUAACUGUAGAACUGCCUUUGAAACUGUUAAUCUUGAGUACGGAAGAGAGAGGCGGAAUUCCAGGUGUAGUGGUGAAAUACGUAGAUAUCUGGAAGAACACCAGUUGCGAAGGCGGUCUCUUGGUCCGUUACUGACACUCAGGCGCGAAAGCGUGGGGAGCAAACAGG